rnacentral:lncRNA from 1 species
AGGGUGGAUAAAUUCUACUUUGAAGAAAACCUCUCUUCUGACAAGGUUGGACUUGUACACGGGACAGCAUGAAGGAGUACAUGAUGCUACUGCUUUUGGCUGUGUGCUCUGCCAAGCCUUUCUUUAGCCCUUCACACACAGCACUGAAGACUAUGAUGUUGAAGGAUAUGGAAGACACAGAUGAUGAGGACAACGAUGAUGAUGAUGAUGAUAAUUCUCUCUUUCCAACCAAAGAGCCAGUGAACCCCUUUUUUCCUUUCGAUUUGUUUCCGACAUGCCCAUUUGGGUGCCAAUGUUACUCUCGAGUCGUCCACUGUUCUGAUCUAGAAAUGAGUGCAAACCCUCUUGAUAACAAUGGGAUAGAACCAGGGGCAUUUGAAGGGGUGACAGUCUUCCAUAUCAGGAUUGCUGAAGCAAAACUAACCUCCAUCCCGAAAGGACUACCACCAACUUUACUGAGUAUUCACUAUCAAUAGAUAAUAUUCAUCAGAGUUGGUUUUGGAGUUAUUAACACACAAUUUUCUUUUCCAAAUUAUUAUCUGGUUAUAAAAUUGUAAAAAUAUGAUUGCUUAUAUAAAGUCUAUAAUGUGCAUUUUAUGAUCAGUUAUAUAAGCUUUGAAGAACACAGUAACUGUUAGGUUACACUGUCAUUAUUUCAGGAAAGCCCUUUGGAAGAGUAUGGACAUCAAUAAAUUUUAUAUCAACUUAUCUCUUCAAAUAUGCACAUUAGGUAAUCCCUGGAAACAAAGCUAAGGGGACAAAACCAAAAACUGAACAAAACUUAGGAAUACUUUCAUGUUUUUUUAAUUAAUAUUCAUUAUGAAUUAAGUAAAAAAUGAAAUAAGGAAAAUAUUAAAUACUGGUUUAAAAU